AUGCACGCUGGCGGCGUGCCUAAUACCUGCCAGUCGAGCGAACAGAUGAGGAGCUUGCUCCUCUGACGUUAGCGGCGGACGGGUGAGUAACACGUGGAUAACCUACCUAUAAGACUGGGAUAACUACGGGAAACCGGAGCUAAUACCGGAUAAUAUAUUGAACCGCAUGGUUCAAUAGUGAAAGACGGUUUUGCUGUCACUUAUAGAUGGAUCCGCGCCGCAUUAGCUAGUUGGUAAGGUAACGGCUUACCAAGGCAACGAUGCGUAGCCGACCUGAGAGGGUGAUCGGCCACACUGGAACUGAGACACGGUCCAGACUCCUACGGGAGGCAGCAGUAGGGAAUCUUCCGCAAUGGGCGAAAGCCUGACGGAGCAACGCCGCGUGAGUGAUGAAGGUCUUCGGAUCGUAAAACUCUGUUAUUAGGGAAGAACAAAUGUGUAAGUAACUAUGCACGUCUUGACGGUACCUAAUCAGAAAGCCACGGCUAACUACGUG
rnacentral:rRNA from 1 species